ACCGGCUCAUUGUAAGAAAGCCCAAGAGUAAGCUAUGUGAGGUUGAUGGCGAUGCUUAAAAAGCAAUCGACUUACAAGGGUGUGAAAAUGGGCUCGAUAUUAAAUCGAGAAAAAUAUGAUUUUUAUAAGUUUAAAAAUGGUCUUGAAUGAAUGAUGAAAUUAAAAGAAAAUAAAUUUGCAUUAUUAACAAAUGAAACUAUGAGUAUAAUAAAGGCAUAAACAUAAAAGAAAUGAAAAUGCUAAAAGAAAAUAAAAUAGCUAAAAGAAAUAAAAUAGCUAAAAGAAAUAAAAUGCCAAAAAAAUGCCACACAUGAGUAUUGAACCCACCCCACUCAAGACUAUGAUACUACCCUUCUCCACCAGACCAGUCAUGGAUAUUUAUUAUUUUGAUGCUACUUUAAAUAUAUAAACCAAAAUAGAUUAAACAUUAGAAUAAAAAACUAAAAUAAAAAAAAGUUUGUUGGACUACUAGUAGUUAAACCCAGCCGUCUGGCUGUUGGGUUUUUCCAGAGAAUAUGAAUUGAAAAUGUGUAAAUACUUAUUAACUACUUAGGAAGUUUAAACAAAACCUUUAAUGUUUUUUUAAAACUUAUUCUGUAUAAAAAAUAAAUUAAAGAAAAAAAAUAAGGAAACCAAAACAGAAGACACUUUCGUCUCCGUCUCUCACAAUCUCACGAGUUCUCCAUCAAACUCAAAACUCUCUCAGGCGAAACCUCUCUCUGCUCUCAGAAUCGCUAUCCCUCAACCUUACCCAAUCGUCUCUCAAACGCGUCCAACCCUCUCUCUCUCAAACUCGCUCAAACGAAAUCUCCCUCUGCUCUCAAAAUCGCUCGCAUCUAUCUCUCAAACCUCUCUCUCGCGUACUUUCUACCUCAAAGUCGCUCAUCAACGAACCCUCUCACGCUCUCAAACUCAAAGAAUCACUCUCUCUCAACUCUCACGAUAUCUCCAUUAACAAGCAAGUGAAAAGGAUAAAAGGAAAAAGGAGAAGUUCUUACAAAGUGUC
rnacentral:lncRNA from 1 species